rnacentral:rRNA from 1 species
AUUGAACGCUGGCGGCAUGCCUUACACAUGCAAGUCGAACGGUAACGCGGGGGCAACCCUGGCGACGAGUGGCGAACGGGUGAGUAAUACAUCGGAACGUACCCAGUAGUGGGGGAUAGCUCGGGCGAAAGCCGGAUUAAUACCGCAUACGACCUACGGGUGAAAGCGGGGGAUCGAAAGACCUCGCGCUAUUGGAGCGGCCGAUGUCGGAUUAGCUAGUUGGUGAGGUAAAGGCUCACCAAGGCUACGAUCCGUAGCUGGUCUGAGAGGACGACCAGCCACACUGGGACUGAGACACGGCCCAGACUCCUACGGGAGGCAGCAGUGGGGAAUUUUGGACAAUGGGCGAAAGCCUGAUCCAGCCAUGCCGCGUGUGUGAAGAAGGCC